UAUGGGGUUGGGCCUUAAUUGGGAACCACAUGGUGGUUUUUUAUUGAACAAAUUUCUUUGGUGGCGGGAGCAAUCCUACCGCCAGAGGUUAUAACUAAACCAAACUUUUUAUUUACAGUCAAACUUGAUUUAUUAUUACAAUAGUCAAAACUUUCAACAACGGAUCUCUUGGUUCUCGCAUCGAUGAAGAACGCAGCGAAAUGCGAUACGUAAUAUGAAUUGCAGAUAUUCGUGAAUCAUCGAAUCUUUGAACGCACAUUGCGCCCUUUGGUAUUCCAAAGGGCAUGCCUGUUUGAGCGUCAUUUCUCCCUCAAACCCCCGGGUUUGGUGUUGAGCAAUACGCUAGGUUUGUUUGAAAGAAUUUAACGUGGAAACUUAUUUUAAGCGACUUAGGUUUAUCCAAAACGCUUAUUUUGCUAGUGGCCACCACAAUUUAUUUCAUAACUUUGACCUCAAAUCAGGUAGGACUACCCGCUGAACUUAAGCAUAUCAAUAAGCGGGAGGAAAAGGAUCAUUACGGAUUUGCUUAAUUGCCCACAGGGGUUUUUUAUUGAACAAAUUUCUUUGGGGGCGGGGGCAAUCUACCGCCAAGGUUAUAACUAAACCAAACUUUUUAUUUACAGUCAAACUUGAUUUAUUAUUACAAUAGUCAAAACUUUCAACAACGGACCUCUGGGUUCUCGCAUCGAUUAAAAACGCACCGAAAUGCGAUACGUAAUAUGGAAUUGCAAAUAUUUCGUGAAUCUCGAAUCUUUGAACACCAUUGGCCUUUUGGUAUUCAAAGGGCAUGCCUGUUUUGGAGCGUCAUUUCUCCUUCAACCCGGGGUUUGGGUGUUGAGCAAUUACCUUGGGUUUGUUUUGAAAGAAAUUUAUGGGAAAAAACUAUUUUCGAGCCAUGAGGUUUAUCAACACUAUUUUUGCUGUGGCACACACUUUAUUUCAACUUGCACUCAAAGGGGGAGAACACGCUGACUUAAAGCUUCAUAGGGGGGAGGAAAA
rnacentral:rRNA from 1 species